UGCUCGUGGUCCGUGACCUCAGGUAUAGGCUGCAUCAGGGGUGGGGGUGGAGGAUUCCAGUCUGGGGUAAUCUUCUUCUUCCACAGCCCACCUCUGUCGACCUCCUCGCCAUGGAUUUGGACAUGGACGUGCUUUUCGAAGAUGCAACUGCAGGACCACGCAGGAUGCCGGUCUUGGAGGCACGUCCUAUAGCCAUGGCCGGGCCGGUGGAGUCGCCGGCUUCUCUUAGCAUCGCCGAUGCGGAGAUAGGCCGCGUCGGAGUUCGCGCACACGUCGGUUAAAGUGUUGGAUUUCCGCCGGAACAAGGAGCUUUUCCAGAUUUGUUCAGAGGCUACCAGCGGCUGGACUAGGAGGCGUGUCUCUAAUUUCUUUAUUCAGUCUGUCAUUUGUUCAUACAUGUUCUUGGAGCAGUAAGCUGCAUUUGGGUAGAAAUCAUAUUGGUAGUUAUGUCUAUUUGUUGAUUCUGCCUGGUUGCUUGUUCUGCCAUUGUUCAUACACAUAGUCUCGAUGUUAAUUUUCAAGCUUAAGCCUGUCAGUCAAAAUAAUGAUGUUACGUAGAGUGAUUGAAUCGUCAA